GAGCUUCCCCUGAAGAUUGGAGGGGAUGAGUCAGGGGCAAGGAAGGAUUAACAGAUUCUGCCUCAAGUCCUGGUGAACCAACUCCUCUCCCCAAGACAGACACAUACUAGUGAAAUAAAUUGGAUUUAAAUCAUCACCUGAGGCAAUCCUGAAAGAGAAAAGCAGUCCUAGAAAAGAGUGGAGGAAAAGAGGACAGCCCCAUUCUCUUUGUGACCACGAAGACUGCCGCCAUGUGGUUGGGAGCCACGUAACUUCUUUUAGUGCCAGCUGAGAUUCUUCUGCCCUGGAACUAGUUCCUCCGAGUUAUUGCCAGGCCUGGAGAUUGAAUUCCUGCAGCUGGAAGGUGGGGAAAGCAAAAUGUUGUGAGCACCUACCAUAUGCCAGGCACUGUUCAGUGAACUGGUUGUACAGGAGUGAAUGAGAUCAUCUUGAUUUUGAGAAGUUUAUAAUCUACUCAAGGGAAACACGUGUAAUCAACUAUGUUUCAGACAUAACCCCUCAAAACCAAAGCAGAACCUCUUCAAGGAGCUGAGAGAUGCAAGCCUGGCAGAUGACUCCUUUGCCUCUUCC
rnacentral:lncRNA from 10 species